rnacentral:rRNA from 1 species
UACGAAGGGGGCGAGCGUUGUUCGGAUUUACUGGGCGUAAAGGGCGCGCAGGCGGCUCAUUUUGGCAGGCGGGAAAGCCCCGGGCUUAACCUGGGAACUGCGUUUGAUACGGAUGGGCUAGAGUUCGGGAGAGGAGAGUGGAAUUCCCAGUGUAGAGGUGAAAUUCGUAGAUAUUGGGAAGAACACCGGUGGCGAAGGCGGCUCUCUGGACCGAGACUGACGCUGAGGCGCGAAAGCUAGGGGAGCAAACAGG